GCUAAUUUUUGUAUUUUUAGUAGAGACGAGGUUUUGCCAUGUUGUCCAGGCUGGUCUCAAACUCCUGACCUUAGGUGAUCUACCCCCUCGGCCUCCCAAAGUGCUGGGAUUACAAGCGUGAGCCACCACUCCUGGCCAGCAUCCACAUUUUUAAAAACCUCCCCACACGAUGCUGGGGCACAGUUAGGAUGCGGAACCACCGAACAAAGGAACAUGGUCCUCAGCAACAGAACAAACAGGUUGCUGUCUCACCUCCUUCCUUCCCGGGCAACUGCGUGUUUUCUGAAUACUGAACUUUAAGACAGACCUCCAAAGGAACAUUUGAAAUGGAAGGGGCUUUGAAACAUUUGGGAGAGGAAUGGUGGAAGGAACUGGGAGAACUGGACUCAGGCAGAGAGUGGGGAUGGUCAUCCCUUUGGGGAACUGGACUCAGGCUAAGGGUGGGGAUGGUCAUCCCUUUGGGGAACUUCGUACAGGCUGAAUGGUGGAAGAAGGUGGUCACAAGGAGGCUGACUUGGGCUCAUGCAAGGAAGGAAAGGGCUUCCUGGGAGGGGAUGAGCUCCCUGUCACCAGAGGUAUUUGAGCAGAAGUAGAUAAUCACCUACUAGGGAGGCUGUAAAGGGUGGCUGCAUGGUGUAGGGUGUGGAACUAGAUCAGCAAUUUCUAUGCUGAAUUCGUCCUCCAGGAAACUUGUUAAAAAUACAGAUUCCAGGGCCGGGCGCGGUGGCUCAUCCCUGUAAUCCCAGCACUUUGGGAGGCUGAGGCGGGCGGAUCACUUGAGGUCAGGAGUUC
rnacentral:lncRNA from 1 species